rnacentral:rRNA from 1 species
AGUCGCGCGGGGUGUAGCAAUACAUCUAGCGGCGGACGGGUGAGGAACACAUAGGAAUCUGCCUCAGAGCGGGGGAUAGCCCAGGGAAACUUGGAGUAAUACCGCAUGAUGUCGCAAGACCAAAGCUGGGGACCGCAAGGCCUAGCACUCUGAGAGGAGCCUAUGUCUGAUUAGCUAGUUGGUAGGGUAAAGGCCUACCAAGGCGACGAUCAGUAACUGGUCUGAGAGGACGAUCAGUCACACCGGAACUGAGACACGGUCCGGACUCCUACGGGAGGCAGCAGUGGGGAAUAUUGGACAAUGGGCGCAAGCCUGAUCCAGCAAUGCCGCGUGUGUGAAGAAGGCCUUCGGGUUGUAAAGCACUUUAAGCAGGGAAGAAAAAACUCGGUCUAAUACAUCGAGUCUUGACGGUACCUGAAGAAUAAGCACCGGCU